GCGAGCGUAGUUUAGGGGUAGAACAUCUGCUUCCCAAGCAGGUAGCACGAGUUCGAAUCUCGUCGCUCGCA
rnacentral:tRNA from 1 species